rnacentral:rRNA from 1 species
AUGCUAGUCGAGCGAACAGAUAAGGAGCUUGCUCCUUUGACGUUAGCGGCGGACGGGUGAGUAACACGUGGGUAACCUACCUAUNANACUGGGAUAACUUCGGGAAACCGGAUCUUAUACCGGAUAAUAUUUCUAACCGGAUGGUUCGAUAGUGUAAGAUGGUUUUGCUAUCACUUAUAGAUGGACCCGCGCCGUAUUAGCUAGUUGGUAAGGUAACGGCUUACCAAGGCGACGAUACGUAGCCGACCUGAGAGGGUGAUCGGCCACACUGGAACUGAGACACGGUCCAGACUCCUACGGGAGGCAGCAGUAGGGAAUCUUCCGCAAUGGGCGAAAGCCUGACGGAGCAACGCCGCGUGAGUGAUGAAGGUCUUCGGAUCGUAAAACUCUGUUAUUAGGGAAGAACAUACGUGUAAGUAACUGUGCACGUCUUGACGGUACCUAAUCAGAAAGCCACGGCUAACUACGUGCCAGCAGCCGCGGUAAUACGUAGGUGGCAAGCGUUAUCCGGAAUUAUUGGGCGUAAAGCGCGCGUAGGCGGUUUUUUAAGUCUGAUGUGAAAGCCCACGGCUCAACCGUGGAGGGUCAUUGGAAACUGGAAAACUUGAGUGCAGAAGAGGAAAGUGGAAUUCUAUGUGUAGCGGUGAAAUGCGCAGAGAUACGGAGGAACACCAGUGGUGAAUGCGACUUUUUUGGUCUGUAACUGA